rnacentral:rRNA from 1 species
UACGUAGGGUGCAAGCGUUUGUCCGGAAUUACUGGGCGUAAAGAGCUCGUAGGUGGUUUGUCGCGUUUGUCCGUGAAAACUCACAGCUCAACUGUGGGCGUGCGGGCGAUACGGGCAGACUGGAGUACUGCAGGGGAGACUGGAAUUCCUGGUGUAGCGGUGGAAUGCGCAGAUAUCAGGAGGAACACCGGUGGCGAAGGCGGGGUCUCUGGGCAGUAACUGACGCUGGAGGAGCGAAAGCGUGGGGAGCGAACAGG